AUGAAGUAACAAACCGUAUAGAGAAGUGUGCAGUAGAAUUGAAGCGAAAGAGACGUGAGUCGAUCCUUCUCUCUCUCUUUCUCUCUCUCGACCUUUGGAUACUGCCCCUCGGUUCCAUUCGACCCACUCGCCUCGAAUUUUCUGUUCCUCUCCCCUCCUCUGUCGAUAGAAUCGAUCUCGUCUUCGCUCCACUUUGUCGAUCGCCGAACCAAGAACCGUCGGUUCUGCCUGGAGACCAGCGCGUUUGGGAGGAGGGCUCGGUUCGUUCCCGAUUUCGGAGGUUUGGGGGAGAACCGGGCGGUUGGAGAAUGCCUUGAUCGGGUGACGGGCUUUCUUCGUCUGAUCAGGAUUGCAGAUAGCUGCGUUUCAUAAACGGUUGCUGGGUGGGAAGCUUUUUGUUGCUAGGGGAAAGGAUGAUAGAAUGCAAUUUCUGUCACUCCAAAUUUCCACUUCCAGCAAGUAAAACUGUGUCCAGGGCGUAUGACAACCAUAAGAGCAAGAUAUCCUCAAAACAACGAGCUCUUCAUGUUAUGCUGGUUGUUGGUGAUUGCAUCUUGGUGGGACUCCAGCCCAUCCUGGUCUAUAUGUCUAAGGUGGAUGGGAGCUUCAAAUUUAGUCCCAUCAGUGUUAAUUUUCUGACUGAGGGUACAAAAGUUCUCUUUGCCAUUAUGAUGCUGUUGUUCCAGUCUAGGCGACAAAAAGUGGGAGAAAGGCCUCUUCUCUCUGUAUCUAAUUUUGUGCAGGCAGCUCGAAACAAUAUUCUACUGGCUGUUCCUGCCUUUCUUUAUGCCAUCAACAAUUACCUGAAAUUUAUAAUGCAGUUAUACUUCAACCCUGCUACUGUUAAAAUGUUGAGCAACCUUAAGGUUUUGGUAAUUGCUGUUCUUUUAAAGACCAUAAUGAGAAGACGCUUUUCCAUUAUCCAGUGGGAGGCUCUUGCACUGCUGCUCAUUGGAAUCAGUGUUAAUCAGCUUAGAUCCUUGCCUGAGGGUACCACAGCGCUUGGUCUUCCUGUUGCAACUGGUGCAUACAUGUAUACACUGAUUUUUGUAACUGUACCUUCACUAGCCUCAGUCUAUAAUGAGUAUGCUUUAAAAAGCCAAUUUGAGACGAGCAUAUAUCUUCAGAACUUAUUUUUAUAUGGCUAUGGUGCUAUAUUUAACUUUAUAGCAAUCAUCGGUAUUGCUGUCCUCAAAGGGACAAGUAGUUUUCACAUACUUGAAGGACACUCAAAGGCCACAAUGUUUCUCAUUUGCAACAAUGCUGCACAGGGAAUACUCUCGUCCUUCUUUUUUAAAUAUGCAGACACAAUUCUGAAAAAAUAUUCAUCGACAGUUGCCACUAUCUUUACUGGCAUAGCAUCUGCUGCAUUAUUUGGUCACACUCUCACUAUGAACUUUGUAUUGGGCAUUUCAAUAGUGUUCAUAUCGAUGCACCAGUUCUUUUCUCCACUUGCAAAAGUCAAAGAUGAAACUCCAAAUGGAGAUCUAGAGAUGAGGGAUGCCCAAGAUUACAGAUCCAAGGAAACAUCUUUCAUAGAUAUGGCUGCUGGUGCAACAGAGGAUGCUAGCCACCACGCUGGACCUGAUGAGAAACAACCACUUCUCCCCACAUAAAUUUUCUUGCAAGAUGUCAGAAGAAUAUUCUUUGACUGGUCACAAGAAAAAGAUAAGCCAGUCCUAACUACAAUAAAUAGAGCAGUUUGCUGCAGACUCCGAACACAAGGUAUAUAGCUAGCGGCUGUAGAAGACUCAUGUUUUCAGAUUGAUGAAGAGCAUGAAAAGCCUUGAAGCUACCCAUGAGGAGAUCCAUCAUGAGGCAGCAGCAUGAAGAACAGGCACAACCUCCAUGCAUAUUAUGACAAAUGAAUUGGCAAGAUCCAAUGUGAAACAGAUCAGUCACAACUUGGGACCAUAAUUCAACCAAAAGACAAUCAUUGAGAAGUCUUCUGUAAAGGUGCCAUCUGUUCUUUUUAUCUACAACAUCUUUUAUGGUUUUGUGAUGAUAGGUUAUUUAAAAUAAGUAAAAAGAAAGCAUGUGAUUUUUAAUUACAACAAUAAAUAAGUAUCAUUUUGAUAGAGGUUGAGAAGAGAAAAAAUUUACGAGCAUAUUCUUUAGGAGACCUCUAGAUGAGAUAGAUAAAAAAUAUAAAAUAAUUAAUACCAGUGCUACGAGAAAAGAUAGAAGAAGAUCUAAAAAGAUCUUAAUAGAAUUAUAAAUAAAGAUUUAAAUAUUCUAAACUUAACUAAACAUAUAAUAUUUUCGAUAAAAGAUUUAUAUAGUUGAUCUCAAAUAAUUAAAAUUUUAUGAUUUUAUUAUUAUUAUAGCUUAUAAUAACUAAAAAAAUAUUAAUUAAAAUUUUAAUCAAAAUAUACAUAUAUUAGGAAUGUAUACGAUAAACUUAAAUUGAUAGAGAUAAAUAUGAAGAUCACUUGUAAUUUACCUUAGAAAUAAUACAUCACAAUUGUUAUUAUUAUAACAAUACACUAAUAUCAUUCAUAUACAUUCCGUUUGUUAACGUCAAUCCAAAUAAUAAUAAUAAUAAUAAUAAUAAUAAUAAUAAUAAUAAUAAUAAUAAUAAUAAUAAUAAUAAUAAUAAUAAUAAUAUCUGGAUUAAAAGUAGACGACUUUAGGCUCACUGUCAUAUUGGGAGGUGCCACAUCAUGAUCGUGAUCAUGAUCAUCGCGCCGUCAUCACGGUUGUCAUAUCUAUCUAUUGAUUAAGAUGUCAACUCACAACGGUUCACAUCAUCCGUCGGUUUUCCCACAGCUAACAAUCUCCCAUCCCGACCGUUCGAUCUUCCACAAAGCAAUCAUCACCUUCCGCACUCCAUCUUCUUCCUCUUCUUGCCGUAGUAUGUAGUCGUCUAUAUAUAACCAAGAGUGUGGGAAAGAUCCCAUUUUUGUAGAGGCAGGGUGGGAGAGCGAGAGCGAUAAACCGUGACAAGGGAGGUUUGCUGCUGUCCGGAGGGAUGCCGAUCGUUGAUUCCGAGUCCCUGCGCCGCUCGAUUCGCGAGAAGUGGAAGAAGUAGGUCGUUGUUGUGGAACGCAGGCGUGAAUGCUCCGACCUCGCAGUCGUUCUUGAAUUACCUUCUCCUUGCAAUAUUUUACGGCGCUUAUGUCAUCUACCGAAGGCGGCCACUUCAGAUAAAUUGGUACUACUAUUUGAUACUCGGUAUAGUUGAUGUGGAAGCCAAUUUUAUUG